GGCUCAGUAACACGUGGCCAACCCACCCUCGGGACGGAGACACCCCGGGAAACUGGGACCAAUACCCGAUAGGCGAAGACUCCUGGAACGGGUCUUCACCCAAAAGGUGUUAGGAUCAUGCUUCUUAACAUCGCCCGAGGACGGGGCCGCGGCCGAUCAGGUAGUUGGCGAGGCAACGGCUCACCAAGCCUAUAACCGGUACGGGCCGUGGGAGCGGGAGCCCGGAGAUGGGCACUGAGACAAGGGCCCAGGCCCUACGGGGCGCAGCAGUUGCGAAAACUUGUCAAUGCACGAAAGUGUGAACGGGCUACCCCGAGUGCCGUCCGCUGAGGAUGGCUUUUCUCUGCUGUAAGAAGGCGGAGGAAUAAGGAGAGGGCAAGUCUGGUGUCAGCCGCCCGCGGUAAUACCAGCCUCUCCGAGUGGUANGGAUGAUUAUUGGGCUUAAAAGCCGUNCCGUAGCCGGCCUCUCNAGUCUCUCGUUANNUCCAGCGAUNCNAUCGUUGGACUGCGGGAGAUACUG
rnacentral:rRNA from 1 species